rnacentral:rRNA from 1 species
CCUACGGGAGGCAGCAGUGGGGAAUAUUGCACAAUGGGGGAAACCCUGAUGCAGCGACGCCGCGUGAGUGAAGAAGUAAUUCGUUAUGUAAAGCUCUAUCAGCAGGGAAGAAAAUGACGGUACCUGAGUCAGAAGCCCCGGCUAACUACGUGCCAGCAGCCGCGGUAAUACGUAGGGGGCAAGCGUUAUCCGGAUUUACUGGGUGUAAAGGGAGCGUAGCCGGCAGUGCAAGUCUGGAGUGAAAGGCGGGGGCUCAACCCCCGGACUGCUCUGGAAACUGUACGGCUGGAGUGCAGGAGAGGUAAGUGGAAUUCCUAGUGUAGCGGUGAAAUGCGUAGAUAUUAGGAGGAACACCAGUGGCGAAGGCGGCUUACUGGACCGUAACUGACGUUGAGGCUCGAAAGCGUGGGGAGCAAACAGGAUUAGAUACCCUGGUAGUC